rnacentral:rRNA from 1 species
AUACGUAGGGAGCGAGCGUUAUCCGAAUUUAUUGGGUGUAAAGCGUGUGUAGGCGGUUUAAUAAGUCUAAGGUUUAAGUCCGAAGCUUAACUUCGGUGCGCCUUAGAAACUGUUUUACUUGAAUGCGGUAGAGGCAAGUGGAAUUUCUAGUGUAGCGGUAAAAUGCUUAGAUAUUAGAAGGAACACCAGUGGCGAAGGCGACUUGCUGGGCCGUGAUUGACGCUGAGACACGAAAGCGUGGGGAGCAAAUAGGAUUAGAUACCCUAGUAGUCCACGCCGUAAACGAUGAAUACUAAGUAUCGGGGUUACUCGGUGCUGAAGUUAACACAUUAAGUAUUCCACCUGAGUAGUACGGCCGCAAGGUUAAAACUCAAAUGAAUUGACGGGG